UCUGGAGACAAAUGCUCUUCGGUUCCUGACCUCAGGGAUCUCCCAUGGAGACCAAGCAUGUGCUGUGGUUGAGCUCUGGAGGCUAGAUGUCCGAAAUCGAGGCGAUGUCAGAGUUGGGUCCUUCUGGGUGCUGUGAGGAUGCCGUUUGGAGUAGCUACUUUGAGGACAAGAGACAAAAAGCCUGAGGAGAAAGUCACCAUGAAGGAAACAGAAAGAUUAAAGAGUGAGCAUGAUCUUUGAUCCAGAGCCCCCAUCUCACCCUGGACUGCCUUCUUUUGGAAUUCCCUUGUGGAAAAAAAAAAAAAAAAACUCUUAUUUGGUUAAA